UAGUAAUUAGUUUAAAGAAAACAAAUGAUUUCGACUCAUUAGAAUGUGAUCAUUUCCACAAUUAAAA
rnacentral:tRNA from 1 species